AUUUAAGUAGUUUAAUUAAAACGUUAAUUUGUGGAGUUAGAGACAUAGGAUGCUAUCUUAGAUU
rnacentral:tRNA from 1 species